UCAAAAUAAAAUACUAUAAAAACCACAAAUCCAAAUUUGAAGCCUUGAUCUUUGUGCUAGGAAGAAUACUGUAUUGCAAAAAGUUCAUACUAACAUAUUUCUCUUUCCAGGUGACCGAUGAGACUUCAUUCAGCCAGCGAUUGCCCCGAGUUAGAAUUGACCCUGGGACCGGGACGUGAAUUGGAACUCGCAAAUCCUGCCAGACAUCCGCAUUGAGCUAACCUUAAGUAAAAACAUGCCACAUGCCAAAUUGUAAAGGGAAACAAUUGCCAUUCCAAUACUUUAUUAUUAUUAAGAGCCCAAAAUCUAAACGUUCGUUUCUGUAUGCCACUAAAAAGUAACCAGACCCGAAUUGAACCCGAACCUGAACCUGAACCUGAAUCCAUAUUCCCAGCCGUGUUUAUCGAUGUGUUCAAGCAAAAUCAAAACAGCAACUACAAAACCCACCCAAGCAGCACUCUCCAGCUACAGUUCAAUUAAUUUAGUUACCCUCUUUUUAGUUUUUUAAAUUUAUUUUUAAAAUAAAUAUGUUUACACCCUGCACUAAUUGGCCUUAAUUUGCUCAACUUUUUAUUGAGAGAGAGAGAGAGAGAGAGUUUUCUUUUAUGUUAUCUUUUACCUGUAUAUAUGUUUAUUAAUUUGUACUCUAAUUUUGAAUCAUGCCACGCCAUCCUAACGCUUACUUCCUUACUAUGUUUUUAUACACGUGUAUAUUCACCCUUUAAACGCUUUGACUAAUUUAUAUUAUUUGCUUUGCGCGUCCACCUCAUCCAGAUCAUCCCCAGCCAACUACUCCACUCUCAUUUGUGUGUGUCACUCUAUGUUGGUUACCUGCCCAGCUUGACUUAACAGCUAAAUUCCUAAGUGUUAAGUUGGUUUUUUUUUGUCUUGAUUUUUUUUUCAAUUUAAAUGAGUUUUUCUUGCAGUUGUCCUUGUGUCCAGUCAAAAGUAAUUCUAUUUAUUUUUCGUUCUUCUUUUCUUUUGUUUUUCUUUUCUCGUUUUUAUU